rfam:Archaeon GW2011_AR13 QT05_C0050, whole genome shotgun sequence.
GCGGUUGUGGUAUAACGGUUAUUACGUCCGGUUGUGGUCCGGGCAAAGAGGGUUCGACUCCCUCCAUCCGCU